CACGUAGGCACCAAGCGUUGUCCGGAUUUAUUGGGUGUAAAAGAGCUCGUAGGCGGUUCGGUAAGUCGGGUGUGAAAACUCUGGGCUCAACCCAGAGACGCCACCCGAUACUGCUGUGACUUGAGUACGGUAGGGGAGUGGGGAAUUCCUGGUGUAGCGGUGAAAUGCGCAGAUAUCAGGAGGAACACCAGUGGCGAAGGCGCCACUCUGGGCCGUAACUGACGCUGAGGAGCGAAAGCGUGGGUAGCAAACAGG
rnacentral:rRNA from 1 species